GCGGACGGGUGAGUAACACGUGGGUAACCUACCUAUAAGACUGGGAUAACUUCGGGAAACCGGAGCUAAUACCGGAUAAUAUUUCGAACCGCAUGGUUCGAUAGUGAAAGAUGGUUUUGCUAUCACUUAUAGAUGGACCCGCGCCGUAUUAGCUAGUUGGUAAGGUAACGGCUUACCAAGGCGACGAUACGUAGCCGACCUGAGAGGGUGAUCGGCCACACUGGAACUGAGACACGGUCCAGACUCCUACGGGAGGCAGCAGUAGGGAAUCUUCCGCAAUGGGCGAAAGCCUGACGGAGCAACGCCGCGUGAGUGAUGAAGGUCUUCGGAUCGUAAAACUCUGUUAUUAGGGAAGAACAUACGUGUAAGUAACUGUGCACGUCUUGACGGUA
rnacentral:rRNA from 1 species